UGCAUAGCCGUAAACCCGACAGCCCAAUACAUUGGCUGUCCGCCCGGGUACUACAAGCACGAGCUUUAAACCCAAAGGACUUGACGGUGCUUUACAUCCCCCUAGAGGAGCCUGUCCUAGAACCGAUAACCCCCGUUAAACCUCACCUUUCCUUGCUCGUACCGCCUAUAUACCGCCGUCUCCAGCCUACCCUGUAAAGGACUCAUAGUAGGCAAAAUUGGCAUACCCCAGAACGCCAGGUCGAGGUGUAGCGUAUGGAAAGGGAAGAGAUGGGCUACAUUCAAUGAACCAAUGAAUACGAAUGAUUAAUUGAAACAUUAAUUUAAAGGAGGAUUUAGUAGUAAGUCGGGAAUAGAGAGCCCCACUGAAACCGGCCCUGAAGCG
rnacentral:rRNA from 1 species